rnacentral:rRNA from 1 species
UACGAAGGGGGCUAGCGUUGCUCGGAAUCACUGGGCGUAAAGGGUGCGUAGGCGGGUUUUUAAGUCAGGGGUGAAAUCCUGGAGCUCAACUCCAGAACUGCCUUUGAUACUGGAGAGCUUGAGUUCGGGAGAGGUGAGUGGAACUGCGAGUGUAGAGGUGAAAUUCGUAGAUAUUCGCAAGAACACCAGUGGCGAAGGCGGCUCACUGGCCCGAUACUGACGCUGAGGUGCGAAAGCGUGGGGAGCAAACAGG